rnacentral:rRNA from 1 species
UACGAAGGGGGCUAGCGUUGUUCGGAAUUACUGGGCGUAAAGGGCGCGUAGGCGGUGUGUCGCGUCGGCCGUGAAAACCUGCAGCUUAACUGUGGGCUUGCGGUCGAUACGGGCAUCACUGGAGUUCGGCAGGGGAGACUGGAAUCCUGGUGUAGCGGUGAAAUGCGCAGAUAUCAGGAGGAACACCGGUGGCGAAGGCGGGUCUCUGGGCCGAUACUGACGCUGAGGAGCGAAAGCGUGGG